rnacentral:rRNA from 1 species
UUUUAUUAAAAAUAAUUUUAAUUAAAUAUUAAAUGUGAAACAUUAAAAAUAAAAAAUUUGGCGGUAUUUAAUAUUUAGAGGAACUUGUUUAUUAAAUUGAUAAUCCACGAAUAGAAUAACUUAAUUUAAAAUAUAAAUUUUAUGUAUUGUUGUUGUAAAAUUAUAUUAUUAGAUAUUAAUUAAAAAAUUUAAUAAAAUUAUAAUUCAAAUCAAAAUGUAGGAUAAUUAAGAGUUUAAUGAGUUACAAUUAAUUAAAUAAUUGAAUUUUAAAAAUUAUAUAAUUUAAUUUAUAAAUGAAAAUGGAUUUAAAAGUAAAUUUAUAAAAAUUAUAAAUGAA